rnacentral:tRNA from 1 species
AAGAAAGUCACAGAGUGGUCAUGAGACUGGCUUCAAACCAGUAUACGGGGGUUCAAAUCCUACCUUUCUCG